rnacentral:rRNA from 1 species
UACGAAGGGUGCAAGCGUUACUCGGAAUUACUGGGCGUAAAGCGUGCGUAGGUGGUGAGUUAAGUCUGUCGUGAAAGCCCCCGGGCUCAACCCUGGGAAUGGCGAUGGAUACUGGCUCGCUAGAGUGCGGUAGAGGAGAGUGGAAUUCCCGGUGUAGCAGUGAAAUGCGUAGAGAUCGGGAGGAACAUCAGUUGCGAAGGCGGCUCUCUGGACAGUUACUGACACUGAGGCACGAAGGCCAGGGGAGCAAACGGG